CCACGAGGCGCUGUCUACGAGUC
rnacentral:siRNA from 1 species